GGCUGCGGUGACAGCGCUAACACUUCCCAGAGCCGGGGACCCCGCCGCUGGAAUGGCAUUGCCCACCCUGAAAGUGAGAAGGCUUGAAGUGUCCAAGAUCAAAGAGAGGAAAAGCAUUUGCUGCUGGGAAGUGAGGCACACAUCUUUCCUCCCUUGCAAUAAGCUCAUUAAUCUGGCAUGGCAGUGGCUGAUCUGGGGACAUCACACCUUCAAAUGCACUUCAAAUAUCUGGAAGGCCUGUGGUGCUACUGGACGAGGAGCUGAUCCUACGUGGACCUAUGUGAGGACAGCUAAGAGGAUUGGGAUCUUCCCAGUAAUUCCUGCAAAUAA